rnacentral:rRNA from 1 species
CCUACGGGGUGCAGCAGUGGGGAAUAUUGCACAAUGGGCGAAAGCCUGACGCAGCGACGCCGCGUGAGGGAUGAAGGUCUUCGGAUCGUAAACCUCUGUCAGCAGGGAAGAACGGUCACUGUGCUAAUCAGCAGUGAAUUGACGGUACCUGCAAAGGAAGCACCGGCUAACUCCGUGCCAGCAGCCGCGGUAAUACGGAGGGUGCGAGCGUUAAUCGGAAUUACUGGGCGUAAAGCGCUCGUAGGCGGUAUGUCAAGUCAAGGGGGAAAUCCCCGCGCUAAACGUGGGAACUGCCUUUGAAACUGGCAAACUGGAGUGUGUGAGAGGAUAGUGGAAUUCCAGGUGUAGGAGUGAAAUCCGUAGAUAUCUGGAGGAACAUCAGUGGCGAAGGCGACUAUCUGGCACAUAACUGACGCUGAGGAGCGAAAGCGUGGGUAGCAAACAGGAUUAGAUACCCUGGUAGUC